rnacentral:rRNA from 1 species
CUCCCAAACCCAAUGUGAACGUUACCAAACUGUUGCCUCGGCGGGAUCUCUGCCCCGGGUGCGUCGCAGCCCCGGACCAAGGCGCCCGCCGGAGGACCAACCAAAACUCUUAUUGUAUACCCCCUCGCGGGUUUUUUUAUAAUCUGAGCCUUCUCGGCGCCUCUCGUAGGCGUUUCGAAAAUGAAUCAAAACUUUCAACAACGGAUCUCUUGGUUCUGGCAUCGAUGAAGAACGCAGCGAAAUGCGAUAAGUAAUGUGAAUUGCAGAAUUCAGUGAAUCAUCGAAUCUUUGAACGCACAUUGCGCCCGCCAGUAUUCUGGCGGGCAUGCCUGUCCGAGCGUCAUUUCAACCCUCGAACCCCUCCGGGGGGUCGGCGUUGGGGAUCGGCCCUCCCUUAGCGGGUGGCCGUCUCCGAAAUACAGUGGCGGUCUCGCCGCAGCCUCUCCUGCGCAGUAGUUUGCACACUCGCAUCGGGAGCGCGGCGCGUCCACAGCCGUUAAACACCCAACUUCUGAAAUGUUGACCUCGGAUCAGGUAGGAAUA